rnacentral:rRNA from 1 species
ACUUUUGAGAGUUUGAUCCUGGCUCAGAACGAACGCUGGCGGCGUGCUUAACACAUGCAAGUCGAACGGGGUAAAUAGUGUAGCAAUACACUAUUUACUUAGUGGCGGACGGGUGAGUAACACGUAGGCAACCUACCCUCGAGCGGGGGACAACUCAGGGAAACUUGGGCUAAUACCGCAUAAGACCACGGACUGGGAUGUCAGUGGG